GGCUUUGUGCAGUGGCAGUAUCGUAGCCAAUGAGUUUGUCCAAGGCGUGAUUAUUGCUAAUUGAAAACUUUUCCCAAUACCCCACCAUGAUGACUUGAAAUAUAGUUGGCCUUGGCAAUUUUUGACAGUCUCUACGGAGA
rnacentral:snRNA from 1 species